ensembl:snRNA U2 U2 spliceosomal RNA
AAAGCGUCUCAGCCUUUUGGCUAAGAUCAAGUGUAGUAUCUGUAGCUAGUCUAUAACCUGAUUGAUAUGUCCAUUUUACCCCAAUAUCAUACCAUUAUGAUUACUGUGGCUUUAUAUAGCAAAUCUUGAACUCAGGUAGUAUAAAUCCUCUAACUCUGUUCUUUGUCAAAAUGGUCUUGGCUAUU